rnacentral:misc_RNA from 1 species
GUUGAAGAACGCAGCGAAAUGCGAUAAGUAGUGUGAAUUGCAGAAUUCAGUGAAUCAUCGAAUCUUUGAACGCACAUUGCGCCCUUUGGUAUUCCUUAGGGCAUGCCUGUUCGAGCGUCAUUUAAACCUUCAAGCUCAGCUUGGUGUUGGGUGACUGUCCGCUUCACCGCGGACUCGCCUCAAAAUUAUUGGCGGCCGGUACAUUGGCUUCGAGCGCAGCAGAAACGCGAACUCGGGCCCGUCGUAUUGGCUCCCAGAAGCUAUCUUCACAAUUUUGACCUCGGAUCAGGUAGGGAUACCCGCUGAACUUAAGCAUAUCAAUAAGCGGAGGA